rnacentral:rRNA from 1 species
UGGUGGAGUGAUUUGUCUGGUUAAUUCCGUUAACGAACGAGACCUCCGCGUGCUAAAUAGUUGCGCUUACAAUUUUUUGUAGGUUUGCGACUUCUUAGAGGGACUUUUGGGUAAUCAAACCAAAGGAAGUUGGAGGCAAUAACA